rnacentral:lncRNA from 1 species
ACCAACAAUCACAAUUCAUCAAUAACAACAUCAAGAACGAAACAAUCACAAUUAGCACCAACAAUCACAAUUCAUCAAUAACAACAUCAAGAACGAAACAAUCACAAUUAGCACCAACAAUCACAAUUCAUCAAUAACAACAUCAAGAACGAAACAAUCACAAUUAGCACCAACAAUCACAAUUCAUCAAUAACAACAUCAAGAACAAAAGAAUCAAUCACAAACUAGAUAGAAACCAAAACCAAACCAUCAAUUUGCCAAGUUGAAGAAAGAAUAAAACAAUAACAACAUCAAUUUGCCACAAUUUACUGGUUUAAGAACAAAAGAAUGAAUCACAAACUAGAUAGAAACCAAAACCCAACAUGUAUUCUAACAACAUGAAGAAAGAAAGAAUCAAACAAACAAACCCUAAUUACCAAACAAUAAUCAAAAUUCAAACAAACCCAUAUUUAGCCCAAAUUCACUUGUCUAUAAUGAUC